rnacentral:rRNA from 1 species
AGACCAUCAUGUCGGUCUGGCCUCGGUACGUACUGGUAUUGUUGGUUUCUCCCUUCUGACGAACCAUGAUGUCAUUUAUUUGGUGUCGUGGGAAAUCAGGACUGUUACUUUGAAAAAAUUAGAGUGUUUAAAGCAGGCUUACGCUUGAAUACAUUAGCAUGGAAUAAUGAAAUAGGACGUUUUGAUUCUAUUUUGUUGGUUUCUAGGAUCGACGUA